GGGUUCGAUUCCGGAGAGGGAGCCUGAGAAACGGCUACCANNNNCAAGGAAGGCAGCAGGCGCGCAAAUUACCCAAUCCCAAUACGGGGAGGUAGUGACAAUAAAUAACAAUAUGGGGCUCUUACGGGUCUCGUAAUUGGAAUGAGUACAAUUUAAAUCUCUUAACGAGGAACAAUUGGAGGGCAAGUCUGGUGCCAGCAGCCGCGGUAAUUCCAGCUCCAAUAGCGUAUAUUAAAGUUGUUGCAGUUAAAAAGCUCGUAGUUGAAUUUCGGAGUUUGUCGGUUGGUCGGGCUUCACUGUCCGCACUGGCCUGAUGGAUUCCUACCUUCUGAAUAACCAGCAUGCUAUUAAGUUAGUGCGUUGGGGAAGCAGAGCUAUUACCUUGAAAAAAUUAGAGUGCUUAAAGCAGGCUUUUGCUUGAAUAGAUUAGCAUGGAAUAAUAAAAUAGGACGGCAUGGUUCUAUUUUGUUGGUUUCUAGGAUCACCGUAAUGAUUAAUAGGGAUAGUUGGGGGCAUUAGUAUUCAAUUGUCAGAGGUGAAAUUCUUGGAUUUAUUGAAGACUAACUUCUGCGAAAGCAUUUGCCAAGGAUGUUUUCAUUAAUCAAGAACGAAAGUUAGGGGAUCGAAGACGAUCAGAUACCGUCGUAGUCUUAACCAUAAACUAUGCCGACUAGGGAUCGGACGAUGUUAAUUUUUUAAUGACUCGUUCGGCGCCUUACGG
rnacentral:rRNA from 1 species